UACGUAGGGUGCAAGCGUUGUCCGGAAUUAUUGGGCGUAAAGCGCACGUAGGCGGCCUUGCAAGUUAGAGGUGAAAGCCCGGGGCUCAACCCCGGAAUUGCCUUUAAAACUGCAUCGCUAGAAUUGUGGAGAGGUAAGUGGAAUUCCGAGUGUAGAGGUGAAAUUCGUAGAUAUUCGGAAGAACACCAGUGGCGAAGGCGACUUACUGGACACAUAUUGACGCUGAGGUGCGAAAGCGUGGGGAGCAAACAGG
rnacentral:rRNA from 1 species